rnacentral:antisense_RNA from 1 species
CACGUUUUCCUUGUACCUGUUAAACGAGACUGCCAGGUAUCACAUGUUUAAAUAUCAGACUAUUUCUAGAACCAUCGGAUUUCCUGGCUCCAUUCCACUCUUAUGCUUCUUCUUGGAGGCAGCUUCACCUCCACUCACAUUCCGGAGAUAAGCAUGAACUUUGGUAAUACGAUGAAGACAUGCUUCUUUCUUCUUCCAUGCCCAGAUUUUUUCUUAAUCCAAAAUAAGUUUUAAAGUGAUUGGGGGAGGUGAGGGGGAAUAUUAAUGAUUUAAAUUUUUACCAAAACCCAUUUACAUUUGGAUGGUUUCACUUUCCACAAAGAAAAGCAACAACCCUGACUCUCCCAAAAAAACAAAACAAAACAAAAUAACAAAAAUAAAGCCAAACAUUAACUACCUCCCCAGCUCCACUGAAAACAAAACCAAAAACAAAACAAAUCAAAGCCUUAAGGAUUUAUGAACCAGGAGAGAGUGCAGCCCUUCUAGACUGAGCUGCAAAGAUGGCCCUGCCUCCAUGCCUUGUUGAACAUGAUGAUGCCCCUGGGAAUGGGAGGUGAUGGUUUUUUACUUCGGCCCUAGUACAGAGUAUGCUCUUGAAGCUGGAUUCCAUCAGCAGGUUUUGGAAAUCACUAGUGGGUAAAAAAGACCAAUUUGCAACUAGGCUCUCAUGCUCUAUUGAAAACUAUGUCACAAUAUCACAAUACUAGAUGCUGGGCUCAAGAGAGCAAACAGAAAGCAGCAAGGGCAGUGACUGGAAGCUGGGAGAGAGGGUCAACAGCUGAAUCUCAGCCUGAUGGAGGCCAC